UUUUGUAGUUUUGUAAUUUUAUAUUACUUAUAAUUCAUUGGUAUAAUAAUGAUGAGUAAAAUUUAUUUACAAUACUGGAUAUAUUAGCAUUAAAUAAUUUUACAAAUUUUUUAAAAAAUAUUUAUCAAAAAUUAUAUAUUUAUUCCGUAUCUGAUAUGUCUUGGGUAUUAAAAGUAUUUAAAAAAUUAUAUGAAUUAAAAAUUGUAUCUAAUAAAAUAGCAUACAAUACUAUUGAAUAGAUGCAAAAUGUUGGAAUUCACUAAAAACUUUAUUACUUAUAUACUAUAGAAAAUAUGGAAGUGAUUAUUGUAGAAACAAUUUUACAAGAAUGUAUAAUUACACUUACACAUAUUAAAGAUGUAAAUAUAAAUAUAGUAGUUAAACUCUGCAAUCAAACAUAUUCUAAAAUAAAUCAGAAGUUAAUGUCAUCUUUCAAAAAUUUGAUAAAGUUUGAUGAAACAAAAAAGAGACCAAAAAAAAUUAGAAUUAUUAGAAUUUAUUAGAAUAUGACACAGAUAUUAAUUCAGCAGAAUUAUUUUCUACAAUCGAAUCAGAGAUUACUUCAGAUAUAGAUUAAUAUUUAAAAAUAGUUAAUACAAAAAAUAGGGCUUGGGAAACAAAUAAACAAAAUAAUACUAAUGAUGUAAAAAAUGAAAAUUAUUUUACAUUAUAUUCAAUAAGUAAAUAAAAUAAUUUUUUUUUAUAUAUAUUUUGAUAUAUAUUUUUUUAUAUAUUAACCAUUAUAUAUUAUAGAUGAUUUAUCAAAACCAUACUUUGCAUAUGAAAGGACAAAAUUUUGGAAAUUUUAUGUCAAUAAAGAAAGUCUUUGAAAAAGAUUCAAACAUAAUGAUUAUAAAUAUGUUAUGAAUAUUCGCAAUUCAGUAAGAAAAGAUCAACAAUCAUUCUUUACUCAUUCCAACUUGGGACAAAUGCUAUAUCAUAUCAAAUAUUAUAUGAUGUUGCCAAACAUAUUUUGAUUUGUUUAGCUGAGAAAAAUUUAUAGAUAUUAUACACUUCUUAAAAAUAUUAAUUUUAAUAAUUCAAGCAAAAAUUCAUUUGCAUAAAAUUAAUACUGCAACUGUUCUGCUUUUUGCUGAGAUAUAUUUAACAAAUCAACGAAUUGUAAAAGCUUUUAUCUUAAACGUGAGUUAUUUUCUUAUUAAGAUAUAAUAUUUAAAAUGAAAACUAAUAAUUAAUUGCAGUUAUUUUUAUGAAACAUUCUUUCUAGAAACUAAUCUCAUAUAUACUGAUUCAAAUAAAUGGAAAAUAUAUUCUACUGUAAAAGAUAAUUCUAUUAAAAUACAAGUAAUAAACAUUUUAUUAAAUGCAUUUUAUGAAAGAUUUCCAGAUUAUGCAAUUUUUCUUUUUCAUUUUUUUUUUUUUAAUUGUAAAUCAAUUUAGCAAUUUUUAUCUACUAGGUAAAAAGAAUAAUUUUAUAUGAUUAAAUGAUAUUAUUUAUUAAUAAAUUUAAUAUCAGUUAUAUAAAUACAUUCAGAAUAUAUAUUUUUGUAAAUAUACAUUACAUUUUUAGAUCUUACGAAUAUUGAAAAAUUAAUUAUUGAAUAUAAUUUUAUAUUAAAUAUUAUUAUAUAUUAAAUAUUUAUAUUAUAUAUUAUAUAUUAUUAUAUAUUAUUAUAUAUUAUAUAUUAUAUAUAAUAUUAUUAAAUAUUUAAUAUAAUAUUAUUUCGUGCAUUAAUUGCCAAAUUGGUUCAGAUUAAUGUGACAUUAGUUAAAUGUUUACAUCAAAUAGUAAUUAAUUUAGGAAUAUAUUCUAAAUUACAAAUAAAGUGUUAAUAAGUGUUCAUGCAUUUUUAUAUUAAAAAAAAAUUAUAAUUGCUGUUAAUAAAAAAUAUUCAUAUUAAUAUUGCGUUAAUACUUAUUGUGCUCAUUAUUUCUUGAGAUUAGUUUUAUCCAACAACACAUCUUAUUAUAAAUUCUGAUUGGACAAAAGAAGAAAUGUAUUUUACAAUGAUGGAUUUAAUAGAACAACUUUUAUUAAAUAUUGGAUCUGAAAUCAAUCAUCUAAAAAAAUAUUCUAUAUAUCUUUGAGACAAGUUAUACUAUUACUUAUAUUUCUAAUUAGAACUUAUUAAUUAAUUUUAAUCUUUUACAGAAUUUAAAUAAGAAAUUUAUUUGUAAUAAAAAAAUAAAUCAACAAUAUGCUAAACAAAUAGAACAGAGCAAAAUUUUAAUAUAAAAUAUAUUGCAAAAAGAAUUCUACCUAUUUUAAUAACAAAAAAACUUAAAGGUAAAAUAUUUAAGUUAAGUAGUAUAAGUAUUAAGAUAUUUAAGAACAAUAAAUUCGAAUUUUAAUCAUACAUAUAUUUAAUUAAAAGUAAUGGAAACAAGAUUAUAUUUUUGAAUAAAUUGUUUUUUUAGAAUCUAUGUAAAAAUUUCAAUUUUAAUUUUUUAACUUCUAAACUAAUUUACUUAUAGAAUUUAAUUAUUAUGAUAUAACAAAUAUUAUUUAAUUUUUAUUUUUAAAUUAACAAUAUUUCAUUUAUAAUUGUCUUAUACACAAUAUAUUACAAAUUUUAAAAUAUAUUUUUAAGUUGAUUAUGUUUUGAGUAGCUUAAAAUAUAUUGUAUUAUGAAGUUAUACGCAUUAUAAAUAUUAUAUAAUUGUAUAAUAAUAAAUUAUGUGUAAUAUAUAUAUAAA